GACGAACGCUGGCGGCGGGCUUAACACAUGCAAGUCGAACGGAAAGGCCCUGCUUUUGUGGGGUGCUCGAGUGGCGAACGGGUGAGUAACACGUGAGUAACCUGCCCUUGACCUUGGGAUAACUUCAGGAAACUGGGGCUAAUACCGGAUAGGAGCUCCUGCUGCAUGGUGGGGGUUGGAAAGUUUCGGCGGUUGGGGAUGGACUCGCGGCUUAUCAGCUUGUUGGUGGGGUAGUGGCUUACCAAGGCUUUGACGGGUAGCCGGCCUGAGAGGGUGACCGGCCACAUUGGGACUGAGAUACGGCCCAGAGUACUACGGGAGGCAGCAGUGGGGACUAUUGCACGAUGGGCGGAAGUCUGAUGCAGCAACGCCGCGUGAGGGAUGACGGCCUUCGGGUUGUAAGCCGCUUUCGCCUGUGACGAAGCGUGAGUGACGGUAAUGGGUAAAGAAGCACCGGCUAACUACGUG
rnacentral:rRNA from 1 species